AGUAAUAAAUAAAAAAAAUAAAAAAAUCACACAUCAUAAUCAAUUUAUAUAACAUAUAAAUAAAAUAUAAAAUAGUUUAUUCAUAUAUUAGUAUAAUGCUUUCACAAUAUAAGUCCAAUUAGUUAUAAAUAUUGGAUUUGUUUAUAUUAUACAUUGUGAUAUAAUAGAUGAUUAAAAUCACAAAAUAUAAUUAUUCAAAGUAAUAAAUGAAAUUGUUAUGUUUAAAAAUGUUAUAUUAACAAAUGUGUAGUAAAUAUUCAUACGGUCACGGGUCAAGCUCUAGAAAUAAAUAACAACAACAAGAUUAUUUUUCUUUAUCAAUUUUAUUUUAAUAGAAAUUAUAGUUCCAAAUAUGUUUAUAUAUUUUAUGUACUUAUAAAUUUAUUUUCUUUGUCUUUAAGGAAACUUAGAUUUUGAAAUUGGAAAAAAUAUGACCACCUCUAUAUUAUUUUAAUUAGGAAAUUUAAAAUUUAUAUCAAAAUAUUUUAUUAAAAUUUUAAUUUUAAUUUUUAUUAUAGCUGCAAAGAUUAAUUUUCAAUAUAAAUUUAUGUUUCAAUAUUACCAAUGCAUCAUUUAAUAUAAACAAAAAAAAACUAAAAACAUAAAAAAAAUACCCGCCCGGUCGGGCGGGUCAAGAUCUAGUGAUAUUUUAAAAAAGGAGACUGCCUAUUAUUAGGAAACGAAAUCAUAAUGUUGUUUUGAUUUUUAUAAAAGGAAUAUUUAGUUAU
rnacentral:lncRNA from 1 species